rnacentral:rRNA from 1 species
UACGGGGGGGCAAGCGUUGUUCGGAAUUACUGGGCGUAAAGGGCUCGUGAGGCGGCCAACUAAGUCCGACGUGAAAUCCCCAGGCUUAACCUGGGAACUGCGUCGGAUACUGGAUGGCUUGAAUCCGGGAGAGGGAUGCGGAAUUCCAGGUGUAGCGGUGAAAUGCGUAGAUAUCUGGAGGAACACCAAUUGCGAAAGGCAGCUCGCUGGGACGUA